rnacentral:snRNA from 1 species
GGAUGUGAGGGCGAGCUGUCUGGCUGGGCGGGUGUGCCCUUCCUCCCUCACUGCUCCAUGUGCGUCCCUCCAGAAGCCGUAUCGAUGGAGGAGGACGACCUUCCCCGAAUCAAGGAGGACCGAUCUUCAGUCAAGGGUAUACUAGUAGCUGCGCUCCCCUGCUAGAACCUCCAUACAAGCUCUCAAGACCUAUCUCAGAAGGCCAAAACAAAAUCAAACAACUUCUACAUCAGAUCCCACUACUUC